GAAAAUAUCACUCACCCUUAGAUGGACACCACUAUAAGGACUCUGAGGCCUGAGACUAGCAAGACGGGGGAGACCCAAUGCCCCUCGCCAUUCCAGCUCAGCAAAAGCAUUCAGACUGCUGAUGAAGAGAGUUUGCGGAAAGGCCAGUGACCUGCAUCUUUUGAGCAGAACAGCAAUCACAAUUUGCCAAAGGCACAAAAAAAAGCAAUUCUGGUGUACACCAUAGUUUGAAAACUACAGGUCAAUCCUAUUGACACUUCAAUCUAAACAGAAGAUGCUGCCAUACACAUACAUACACGUGUCUGUGUGUGUGUAUGUAUUUCAAAACCAAUACCAGCUUUGAGAAGCCCUGGUUCAGAUUCUCUGUGUUCCAGUACUUGGUGGUAAUGACUCCCAGAACCUCAGAAAGAUGCAUGGAUCCAUUGAUGGAAGGGCUUUGCGGCUGUUCUCACUAACUCAUGGAACUCAUUUUCCACCUCAAUCACCAG
rnacentral:lncRNA from 1 species